rnacentral:rRNA from 1 species
AGCGAAUGGAUUAAGAGCUUGCUCUUAUGAAGUUAGCGGCGGACGGGUGAGUAACACGUGGGUAACCUGCCCAUAAGACUGGGAUAACUCCGGGAAACCGGGGCUAAUACCGGAUAACAUUUUGCACCGCAUGGUGCGAAAUUCAAAGGCGGCUUCGGCUGUCACUUAUGGAUGGACCCGCGUCGCAUUAGCUAGUUGGUGAGGUAACGGCUCACCAAGGCAACGAUGCGUAGCCGACCUGAGAGGGUGAUCGGCCACACUGGGACUGAGACACGGCCCAGACUCCUACGGGAGGCAGCAGUAGGGAAUCUUCCGCAAUGGACGAAAGUCUGACGGAGCAACGCCGCGUGAGUGAUGAAGGCUUUCGGGUCGUAAAACUCUGUUGUUAGGGAAGAACAAGUGCUAGUUGAAUAAGCUGGCACCUUGACGGUACCUAACCAGAAAGCCACGGCUAACUACGUGCCAGCAGCCGCGGUAAUACGUAGGUGGCAAGCGUUAUCCGGAAUUAUUGGGCGUAAAGCGCGCGCAGGUGGUUUCUUAAGUCUGAUGUGAAAGCCCACGGCUCAACCGUGGAGGGUCAUUGGAAACUGGGAGACUUGAGUGCAGAAGAGGAAAGUGGAAUUCCAUGUGUAGCGGUGAAAUGCGUAGAGAUAUGGAGGAACACCAGUGGCGAAGGCGACUUUCUGGUCUGUAACUGACACUGAGGCGCGAAAGCGUGGGGAGC